rnacentral:rRNA from 1 species
UACGUAGGGGGCGAGCGUUGUCCGGAAUCAUUGGGCGUAAAGCGCGUGUAGGCGGCCCGGUAAGUCCGCUGUGAAAGUCCAGGGCUCAACCCUGGGAUGCCGGUGGAUACUGUCGGGCUCGAGUCCGGAAGAGGCGAGUGGAAUUCCUGGUGUAGCGGUGAAAUGCGCAGAUAUCAGGAGGAACACCAAUAGCGAAGGCAGCUCGCUGGGACGGUACUGACGCGUAAGGCGCGAAAGCGUGGGGAGCGAACAGG